rnacentral:rRNA from 1 species
GACGAACGCUGGCGGCGUGCUUAACACAUGCAAGUCGAACGGUGACCCAGGGCUUGCCCUGGUGAUCAGUGGCGAACGGUGAGUAACACGUUGGGCAACCUGCCCCUGACUUCGGGAUAACUCCUCGAAAGAGGAGCUAAUACCGGAUACGACCACUUCGGACAUCCGAUGGUGUGGAAAGUUUUUCGGUCAGGGAUGGGCCCGCGGCCUAUCAGCUAGUUGGUGGGGUAAUGGCCUACCAAGGCGACGACGGGUAGCCGGCCUGAGAGGGCGACCGGCCACACUGGGACUGAGACACGGCCCAGACUCCUAC